rnacentral:rRNA from 1 species
GACGAACGCUGGCGGCGUGCUUAACACAUGCAAGUCGAACGGAAAGGCCCUGCUUUUGUGGGGUGCUCGAGUGGCGAACGGGUGAGUAACACGUGAGUAACCUGCCCUUGACUUUGGGAUAGCUUCAGGAAACUGGGGCUAAUACCGGAUAGGAGCUCCUGCUGCAUGGUGGGGGUUGGAAAGUUUCGGCGGUUGGGGAUGGACUCGCGGCUUAUCAGCUUGUUGGUGGGGUAGUGGCUUACCAAGGCUGUGACGGGUAGCCGGCCUGAGAGGGUGACCGGCCACAUUGGGACUGUGAUACGGGCAAGAGUCCUACGGGAGGCAGCAGUGGGGAAUAUUGCACAAUGGGCGGAAGCCUGAUGCAGCAACGCCGCGUGCGGGAUGACGGCCUUCGGGUUGUAAACCGCUUUCGCCUGUGACGAAGCGUGAGUGACGGUAAUGGGUAAAGAAGCACCGGCUAACUACGUG